AGGGAUGCAGAGCAGCUGAGGCUCCGUUUGGCAACCCCCCUCUGAGGGUGCCCUCCAAGGCCCCAUCCCAGGGGCUGCGGGGGAGCCGGGCCUGGGGACCCCCUCCCACCCUGGGCUGAGCCCCCACCCCACUACCUGUGCUGCCUGUCCCAGGCUUCCAGGUCUCUGCUCCUGCACGCCAGGCUUCGCCCUUGACAGCGCCCUGUGGAUCUUCCGAUUCGGUAACCCGAACCCCUGCAGACGUGGCCUAGGGAGCCCACGACCGCCGGCCCCUGCAGCUCCCAAAGCCGAAGAACUUCUUCUUCAAGGUACUACAGCAGAAAGCAAAGGGGAUGCAGAGGUGAAGGUCCAUAGCCAGUUCCUCUACUGAUUCCCUCCAGGCAUAAAUGUUCAAUCUAACGACUUUGGUUGGCACUUUCACCUCAGCACUUACCUAUGCCUGCAGCAAUGCGAGUGGGAGAACCAGGAGCCCAGUCUCGGAGUGGGACACCACGGAUUGUUUUAUGAAAAUGGCAGCUGGGAUGUGGAGGAAGAGCCACCUGCAAGUUGGACAGGAGCCACAAGCUGCACUGUGAACCUGGUCACUCGGCACCAAUGCCAUCGGCCCGUGGGUCUCUGAGGGGACCUGCCAAUUGGACUGCCAAAUUCCCCAGUUUGCCCCCAGAUAUUAUAGAAAACCAUUUGUAUAAAUAAUGUAAAGAAAACACACCUAUGGCAAAAACAUAUACAUGUUCUUUAGCACAGGGUGAAAUCAUAACUGGCGUCAUCUAAACAUUUCCUCAAAGAUCAGCCAAAUCUAGGUAAAUUCAGGGAAACAUACUAUAUUCAACCUUAAAGCUUACCGCCAUUAGAUGCAUGGCUAUGAUAGUACGGUAUCAACAUCUAAACUAGUGAAUCUAAUACAGUAAGAAUUUUAAAAUGCCCCCAGAUGAUUUCAAGGCCAAAUUCCAGCUAAGGUCUCCACAAAAUGGCUAUUUUCAAAUAAAGCACAUUCUGACUGGGUUUUCUGAGGUGCUUUCCCUCAUACGUUUUUUUUGUCCUGGGACUGGGGGCUGUGGAAGGAAAGACUGCUUUGCAAUGCUGCAUAAUAAAUAUGGUUUUAAAAGUGCAAGUGUUACAAAUGUCUUCCCUAAUUAAUCACACUCCUAUAUAAGUGAAAAGGUAAUCUGAAAAUUUGGGGGAAAAUUACUUCUUCUGAAACUAAUCUUAAGGUUGGACUUCUUUAUUCAUUAGUUUCUCUUUGAUAUUCAUAUCAUCCCCUUAACUUACUCCUCUCUCACACCAAUAUGCACCCCCCAAGGCUGUUGUAAAGAAUUAUCUUUAAAAAAUCUUAUAAGCAGCUGCAACAUUUUCAUUCCAGUUAUCAAAGAGGUCGUUCAUGGUUCUGUAACUAGAGCAGAAGUAUUAGAAAAAGGAUAAAAUCCAUUGUAGUUGUACAUAAGGAAUAUUACUUCCAAUGUUAUAUAGAACUGUAAAUUAAAAAUAAACUAAUGAAAAUA
rnacentral:antisense_RNA from 1 species